CCUGACAGUCGUUAACAGCCAAUCAAUAUCGACCAACGUGAACUCAACCAAUCACAUAUAACUACAACAGCAGCCAUUGCAUGCUUUAGUAAUGGCAGCGAUUGAUCGAGCACCGGAAGAAGCAGUGCACAUCAACCAUGUUGGAAGCAUUCAAGGAUGAGACAAAAUGGCAGGAGAAAGAAGUGCAGAACAUCAGAGUACAUCUUGAACAUCUUGAUGUUGCCAGAUGCUGUCCUGUCAGAAGUUCUUCUUCACGUGGUCCUGGAGGAGGGUGAUGCUGCUGCAUUGUUAAAUCUCUCUUUGGUUUGUUCCAAAUUCAGAAGUCUGGUGGACAGGCACACUUCUGCUGGCUUGAUGGUGUAACUAAAUGGAGUACAAAG